AAUGAACGCUGGCGGCAGGCCUAACACAUGCAAGUCGAACGGAUCCUUCGGGAUUAGUGGCGGACGGGGGAGUAACGCGUGGGAAAAUACCCUUUGGUACGGAAUAGCCUCGGGAAACUGGGAGUAAUACCGUAUGUGGCCGAGAGACGAAAGAUUUAUCGCCAAAGGAUUGGCCCGCGUGGGAUUAGGUAGUUGGUGGGGUAAUGGCCUACCAAGCCGACGAGCCAUAGCUGGCUUGAGAGGAUGAUCAGCCACACUGGGACUGCGACACGGCCCAGACUCCUGCGGGAGGCAGCAGUGGAGAAUCUUAGCCAAUGGGGGAAACCCUGAUCUAGCCAUGCCGCGUGAUCGAUGAAGGCCUUAGGGUUGUAAAGAUCUUUCAGGUGGGAAGAUAAUGACUGUACCACCAGAAGAAGCCCCGGCUAACUCCGUGCCAGCCGCCGCAGUAA
rnacentral:rRNA from 1 species